rnacentral:rRNA from 1 species
UUCACUUUAGCGAGACUGCCGGUAAUAAACCGGAGGAAGGUGGGGAUGACGUCAAAUCAUCAUGCCCCUUAUGACCUGGGCUACACACGUGCUACAAUGGUUGGUACAACGAGUAUGCGAGUCGGUGACGGCGAGCUAAUCUCUUAAAGCCAAUCUCAGUUCGGAUUGUAGGCUGCAACUCGCCUACAUGAAGUCGGAAUCGCUAGUAAUCGCGGAUCAGCACGCCGCGGUGAAUACGUUCCCGGGCCUUGUACACACCGCCCGUCACACCACGAGAGUUUGUAACACCCGAAGUCGGUGAGGUAACCGUUAUGGAGCCAGCCGCCUAAGGUGAUCAG